GGAGAGGUGGCUGAGUGGUCGAAAGCGCUCCCCUGCUAAGGGAGUGAGUCCUAACGGGCUCCGAGGGUUCGAAUCCCUCCCUCUCCGCCA
rnacentral:tRNA from 1 species